GCCACCUCGUUCUCUUCUGAAUGCCUGCUAGCCAAGAAGAACAGGAAACCAUUUUGACUCUCAGAUACACCCUAAAGCUGCAGUAGUCUCAUCUAAAGGUGGCCUACCCUGCAGAACUGUAGUUUAGGAGUGCACAGCAAAGAGUCUGGUGAUAAAAAUCUCCCAGGUGAAGACCCACCUCACCUGUCAGGACAGAUCAGUGACGUUCGCUCUAAUCUACUGGAGAAAAUGAGGGAGACCCUCGAGAGGGAAUGGGGCAGACGAGAGGCGGUCGUCAUGGAGAGAUCUUGGGGGAUGUUUUUGGAGAUGAGCGCAAUGCAUGAACUCGACGAGCAUGAGCUUGAACAAGCUCGAGAAAAAGUGCAUGGGUGGCAGAUGAAAACCUCUGGGCUUGGAUCAGAAUUAGAAGACAAUGAAGAUGGUUAUGCAGAGUGACAAAUGUAUUUGGGGGUUUUUGUGGACUUAUUAAGCUUUCAAAGC
rnacentral:lncRNA from 1 species